CGGGAUGCCUAUACAUGCAGUCGAGCGAACAGACGAGGAGCUUGCUCCUCUGACGUUAGCGGCGGACGGGUGAGUAACACGUGGAUAACCUACCUAUAAGACUGGGAUAACUUCGGGAAACCGGAGCUAAUACCGGAUAAUAUAUUGAACCGCAUGGUUCAAUAGUGAAAGACGGUUUUGCUGUCACUUAUAGAUGGAUCCGCGCCGCAUUAGCUAGUUGGUAAGGUAACGGCUUACCAAGGCAACGAUGCGUAGCCGACCUGAGAGGGUGAUCGGCCACACUGGAACUGAGACACGGUCCAGACUCCUACGGGAGGCAGCAGUAGGGAAUCUUCCGCAAUGGGCGAAAGCCUGACGGAGCAACGCCGCGUGAGUGAUGAAGGUCUUCGGAUCGUAAAACUCUGUUAUUAGGGAAGAACAAAUGUGUAAGUAACUAUGCACGUCUUGACGGUACCUAAUCAGAAAGCCACGGCUAACUACGUGCCACGCC
rnacentral:rRNA from 1 species